rnacentral:rRNA from 1 species
UUUGAUCAUGGCUCAGAUUGAACGCUGGCGGCAGGCCUAACACAUGCAAGUCGAACGGUAACAGGAAACAGCUUGCUGUUUCGCUGACGAGUGGCGGACGGGUGAGUAAUGUCUGGGAAACUGCCUGGUGGAGGGGGAUAACUACUGGAAACGGUAGCUAAUACCGCAUAACGUCGCAAGACCAAAGAGGGGGACCUUCGGGCCUCUUGCCAUCGGAUGUGCCCAGAUGGGAUUAGCUAGUAGGUGGGGUAACGG